GGAAGCAGGACUGGCCACCAAACAGAUUAUUGUGGACGCAUGCGGGUCUGGGCAAGCUACUUGCCAACACGGCUUGCAUCUCAGGCUGAUGUUGGCAGAAGCCCAGGGUCUCGGCCUGCAAGACGCUGGGGAAGAACAUCUACCAACCCUGUUCUCCUUAAAAGGAGAGCUCCUCCUCAAACAGGCACACAGGACACAGCCGUGGGGGUGGAGAACCAGCCAGCAGCUACCAACAAGCAGGACAUAGCUUCCAGCCCAGGAGGAGUUUAGUGUUUCAAACCACACAUCACAAAUCAUUUCCUCUGCACAUUCCUUGGAAGUUUGGGGGCAUUAACUUUCCAUCUUAUCUUUCCUAGGGUGGAUGCCAGGAGCUGGCCCUAGUGAUGUUUGCAUUUGAACAACAGUGAGAUUGGGUGUCAGCUGCCCCAGGGGCGCCGAGGAAGAUGAAGAAACGGAGCAGGCUGUCUCCAGGCAAAGGAGGAGAGAAGGGCAGAAUCCGGAUGGUAUGGAAUGAACAGCAAGGGAGGGAAGCGGAAAGGGGAACUGGGAUUUGCUACUGCUCUAUCAAAUUACAGUGUGCAAAGCUAGCUCCAGGUGGUGGGCUCCUGGGUGUCACCACCAGGGUACAAACCUCAGUUGUGCCCUCUACUUACUGUGUGACCAUGUGUGAAUGGGCAAACUCUCUGAACUUGAGUUUGCCUCUCAGCAAAACAGUACCUACUUCCUGGGACUGUCAGGGGCACUGAAUGAGAUGACAAGCGACCCUUAGCCCAGCACCUGGUACACAGCAAACACUCCAUCCAAUCUGGACACGAUUAUCAUUCUGCCAGAACUUCUGUGAAAUUUGGUUACAGGUCUGCACUCCUGAGCGAUGAAAGGGCACAGGCCUUAGAAAUAAGAAGACCCAGGUUGAAAAAUGGCUCUGCCACCUAUGACGACCACCUUCUUGAGUUUUCUGGGCCUCAGGCUCCCCCUGGAAAAUGGAGAUAAAGUAAACAACCGCAGAGGACUGCAGUGAGAAAUGAAGCACACGGUGUUUGUAAAGUGCUUGGAGCAGCACUGGCAUGUCCCCCACUAGGUGAGGCCACAGCAAGGAGAUAGUCAUCUGCAACACAGGAAGAGGAGCUCCACCAUAACCUGCUCGUGCUGGCCUCUUGAUCUCAGGUGUCCAGCCCCCAGAACUACGAGAAAUAAAUGACUGAUGAGCAAGCUUCCCCCUCCCCGCCCCCGCCAUCUGUGGCAUUUUAUUAUGGGAGCCUGGACUCAUACAGGCGUUAUAUGAUUAGAACUGACAGACACCGAAGCCGGCUGAUUCAAGGGCGAGGUCCAGGCUGGAGAUACAAACCCAGGAGGCCUUAGCAUGCGGACAAGUUAGUACAACAAAAGGGGGGUAAUAUACUUCCUACCUCACAGGUGGCUGUGAGGACUGAAAUAGAUACUUCACAUGGCCUGCUUAGCACUGUGGUAGGGCACGUAUGAAAGCUUGUAAAUGGGACUGUUACCUGCAGAAGAUCACACAAGGAUAUGCUCUCGGAAUCACAGAAUUUUGGAUAGAUUCUCUAGCUCAAAAACCUUAAUUUGUAGCUAGGGAAACUAAGCUAAGCCAAGAUUAUUGACUUGCCUGGCAUUUUUCUACCAUUAACGAUUGUUUUUUUUUAAGAUUUACAGACCCAGCCAUAAAGGAGGAAGGUGAAGUUUAACCGUACCUUGAU